rnacentral:lncRNA from 1 species
UUUCGUCGUAGAGAUGAAAACUUUACGACGAAAAGUUUAUACAGCAAUAUAGGAACGAUUUUUUUGGAUUUUUGAAUAAGGAUAACUAAAUUGCAGCAGUAGUAAGGUAGGAAACCAGAACCUAUUGCAAUUCAUGGGGAGAUCAAAGGAUGAUCCGCGAUGGUGGAGAUGAUGGCGGAAUUCGGCGACGAUCUUUUAAGCAAUUGUGGGAAUUGCUUUGGGCGGCUGUGGAGGGCUGAUGGAUGGCUGGAUUUUUGAAUAAGGAUAACUAAAUUGUAGUAGCAGUAAGGUAGGAAACCAGAACCUGUUGCAAUUCACGGGGAGAUCAAAGGAUGAUCCGCGAUGGUGGAGAUGACGGUGGAAUUCGGCGACGANNNNNNNNNNNNNNNNNNNNUUUUGAAUAAGGAUAACUAAAUUGUAGUAGCAGUAAGGUAGGAAACCAGAACCUGUUGCAAUUCACGGGGAGAUCAAAGGAUGAUCCGCGAUGGUGGAGAUGACGGUGGAAUUCGGCGACGAUCUUUUAAGCAAUUGUAGGAAUUGCUUUGCGCGGCU